ensembl:lncRNA
CUAGGCUAGUUUUAUACACUACUCUACUUUUAUACACUAGGCUACUUUUAUACACUACUCUAGUUUUAUACACUACUCUACUUUUAUACACUAGGCUAGUUUUAUACAUUAGGCUAGUUUUAUACACUACUCUACUUUUAUGCACUACUCUACUUUUAUACAUUAGGCUAGUUUUAUACACUACUCUAGUUUUAUACACUACUCUACUUUUAUACAUUAGGCUAGUUUUAUACACUACUUUUAUACAUUAGGCUAGUUUUAUACACUACUCUAGUUUUAUGCACUACUCUACUUUUAUACACUAGGCUAGUUUUAUACACUAGGCUAGUUUUAUACACUACUCUACUUUUAUACACUAGGCUAGUUUUAUACACUACUCUAGUUUUAUACACUAGGCUAGUUUUAUACACUAGGCUAGUUUAUACACUAGGCUAGUUUUAUACACUACUCUACUUUUAUACACUAGGCUAGUUUUAUACACUAGGCUAGUUUUAUACACUAGGCUAGUUUUAUACACUACUCUACUUUUAUAGUGUGAUUUAUUCUUACGUGUGUG